rnacentral:lncRNA from 1 species
CCGGAAAAAUGUGUUGAUGGCUUGUUUGAUAGUUUUGCAAGGUUGGAUUCACGUAUAUAUAGUGUUGUUCAAACUGCUGCUAACGUAGGAGACCACCUGCAGGUAAAGGUAAAGCCUGUAUAAAGAAAUCUCGAUUUUGGGUGGCUCGGGGAGCCGAAAUCUCGAUUUUGGGAUGGAAACGGUUCGGCGAGGAAAUUUCACCACAUGUUCCCCAUCAUGAAAGAUUACCAAGAGUCCAAGAAUCAUGCAAUUCAGACGUGUAACGAGGGAGAUAUUGGCAAAUUACAAUAAUGACGAUACCUCGGUGUUUAUUCGUUCAUUGAACUGAUUGCCAUGAUAGGGAUGCGAGUGUUUGAGAUAGUAAAUAUCUGCAUUAAAUUUCUUUUAUUGAUGCUUUGCGUCACACCCCAAUUCAUAUAAAUAACACAAGAGAAAAAUCCUUGUUGAAACCGAAAAGAAGGUAACAAGUCAGGCUAGGCCCCUUUGGAUCACAAGUUUUGUUUCAUGCUUCUGAUAACCAGUAUCAUUUGCAUAAAAUUAUGAGUUAAGUGUUUAAGCUCAAUCAGAGAUGCCGCUCUAAAUCUAACAUGAAAGUCUUAAGUUGAGAAAACAAAAGACAAAUAAGAGUUAUUGUUAUAGCGGAAGUCUAAAAUAGAAAGUUGAACCAUAGCCUCAGCUCGUCCCGUCAGCAACGACCGGCCAACCUGAAAAACAUUUGAAAGUAUUUUUAGGUUAAGUACUAAUGUACUCAGUGGGCAUGCAUUUUCUGAAACAUUUCAUAUUUUCGUAAAGACAGUUUAUCCAAUCAUAAUUGACAUAACUUAGAAGGUUUUAAAUUGAAAGAACUUCUAAGCAUGUUAAAAUAAUUUCUUUUAUUUGUGCGCACAUGUCACACUCCCUUUCUAUUACUCGCUGUGAUCCCGGACCUUUUAGCCAUCGUUAGAUCCAUUUCUCCCAUUUACUUGAACUGAGGGCGUAACCCAGACAAGUUUCAUUUGACCUCGGGACGCUACCCAGGCAGGCCUUACAUUACAUGCUCCGGAACACAUCCAGCAAGCACCCUUAUAACGUCUAUUAGUUAGUGCCCGAUGGAGAUCAACCCACUAGGUCAGCUAACGAGUGUACAUAAUUCUCAAAUAACGUGUUAGGCCAUAAGAGAACCUUGAACGAUUCGUUGUGGCGAGCCUUAAACAGAGCAGAGUGCACAUAAACAUUUUAUCGGAUAAACAGUUUGCAUUUCAUUGAAUAAACAAUUUACAUUUCAUUGAAACAUUUAGAGCUUAAUAACUCAUUCAUACUUUAUACAUUUGGAAAGUAAGCCUACCUGAUUAGGCAAUGUCUGCAGUUUUACUCAUAACUCUGAAUAGGAAUAGCGACGCUAAUUCUCCUGAACCACAAAGCCUACAAGAAAUCUAUUAUUAAUAGGUCUCUCGAAUGUAAUCUUAAGUCAUAGUGAAAGUGCUUAACAUUUUAUGAUUCACCAAGUCGAAUUUUCAAAAUUUAAUCAUAAAUACUUGAAAAUUUAAAUCCUGAGCUAAGGACACCAACAAUAUCCUUGUUCGAUUUUCUUUGAUGAUUGGAUUUAUGAAAAAUCAAUUUAAAUCAUAAAUACUCUUAUUGUUCAAAUACUUAAUGCAAAUAAUUUCAUGCUUAAUCAUAUAAUAAGUAAUUGCAGCAUGUAUGUACAUAAUAAUAUUAUUAUGCAAUUCAUUCUUUAACAUAAAUAAUUAAACUAAUUAAUAGUCUAAUUAAAUAAUAAAUUUAGGCUUAAAUCAAUAAUCCAAUUAAAGAAGUUAAUUGGCAGCCCAAUAAUUUAAAGAGUAAAAUUUUGAAGUAGCCAAAAUGAAGCAUAAAACACAAUUUAUGGCCACACAUUGAAAAAACACAAAUUUUGGCCAUUUUUAUAGCUUUGGGACGCUUUUGCCCUUAAUUGGGCGGACUGGGUAGGGUCAGACACGCGGGUCGCGUGCCGGGUCGGGUUAGGCACUUAUGGCACUAUUAGUGCCAUAAGUGCCAAGAUGGCACUUAUGGCACUAAUAGUGCCAUAAGUGCCAUCGAAAAUCCAAAAUAAAACCAAGUAAAAUAGUCAUUUUGGCACUUAUGUCACUAUUAGUGCCAUAAGUGCCAACGAAAUUCAAAAUAAAACUAAGUAAAAUGGUCAUCAGCACAAAUACAGAAACAACAACAUCAUUUAAACCCUAAAUGGAACAUCUAAACCCUAAAUGGGUAAUCUAAACCCUAAAUGGAACAUCUAAACCCCAAAUGAAUAAUCUAAACCCUAAAUGGAAUAUCUAAACCCUAGGGGGAAGUGUGCACUUAUGGCACUUAUGGCACUAUUAGUGCCAUAAGUGCCAUCUUGGCACUUAUGGCACUAAUAGUGCCAUAAGUGCCUAACCCGACCCGGCACGCGACCCGCGUGUCUGAUCCUACCCAGUCCGCCUCAUUAAGGGCAAAAGCGUCCAAAUCAAUAAAAAUGGCCAAAAUUUGUGUUUUUUCAAAUGGUGGACAAAAUUUGAUUUUCAUUCUUCAUUAUGGCCAUUUGGGUGGAUUGUUUCUAAUUUAAAUGCAGAUUCACCCAAGUAAAAUAAAUAGGGCAGCCCACAUUCUUUAAAAUAAUUCAGACCCAAGAGUUUAAUUAAAAUGGUGUGGCCCAACCACAAAUUAAUUCUGCAGCCCAAACUUUAAUAAUUCCGGCCCAAAACAGAUGGCCCAACACCCCAACCCUAUUCCUCUUAUUCCUAUCACAAGAUAGGUUUCAAUCUCUCCCUCAGCACCAAAACUCGCCCUCUCUCUAAUCUCUCUCAAACCUUACUGAAUCAGGCCCUCUCUCAAAACCUCGCCGCCACGGCUCCUCCUCCGGCCACGAACGCCGCCGGCCACUCCUCUCCCGACUCCCUCGACUCUAUUUCACUCAAGGUUGGCCACACACACACGGACCCACACACGCCGCCCCUCUCCCGACUCCCUUCAUCUUCUCCCUCAUCUCCGGCCACACCGGCGCCCCAUAUCCCUCUCUUUCUCGGCGGCAGCAACCGCCGCCACGGUCACCGCCUCAUCUCCCUUACCCCUCUGCUCUCGCCUCCUCUCUGACCCAGAACGGCGACGGUGAGGGACUCCGCCGUCUGAGCCCUAGCCCCAAUCACGGCUCCUCUCAAUUUCUGGCAACGACGCCGCCCCUACGCAGCGCUGCCUCCAUCCGUUCUCCCUCAUCUCAAAGCCUCGCCGGACAGACUACAGCAGCAGCCGUGCCACCGCAGUCGACGCCCGGUCUCCCUCCAUCUCUUCCCUCUGAACUCCGGUGAUAAAACAAAGCCCUGAGGCUGUUGCCCACCUUCCCUGACUCGACUCAGCAGCUACAACAACACCCACCCGACUCAACUCGGUACCCACCGACUCAGUUCGACUCAAGCAUCACAAAAUAGAGUUCAAAAGCUAAAAUCCAGAUUAUUCAAGUCAAAGUUCUUUUCUUUAAAACUAUUUGUGAAGUUGUCAUUCCUUUUGAAAUCUUUGUUCUGCUAUACACAAAAUAUACAUAUAUGCAGCUGUUAUUCAUGUACGGCAUUUUGGUUUCAUUUGAAAUAUAUGUGUAUAUAUAUCGAGAUGAAUGUAUGUGUGUUAUAGCUGAAAUUAGAACUAAAGUUACAGAAAUUUAAAAGUUAAAAACCUUUGGAAAACUUGCUGAUGGUUGGUUGCUUGAAAUUUGGUGGAGGCUUGAAUUAGCUCAGCACUUGAAACUCCUCUUUCUUGCGAAAUGUUGAUUGAAUUUGUUAGAAAUGAAGAAGGAUGGAUUGAUUUUGCAGAGAGUGUUUUGUGAUGAUGUUAAAGGGGCAUAGUUGGUGGAAAGUAAGGAGUGAUGGUAAGUUUGGACUUUGAAAUUAUACAAAACUACUGUUUUUUGAUUUGUCUGUUUACCGCAUUAUAUCGUGUUACUAGUGUUUCUAUCGUCCCAAUGUCGUUUGUAUUGAGGCAAAUUAUAAUAAUGACGAUACCUCGGUGUUUAUUCGUUCACUGAACUGAUUGCCAUGAUAGGGAUGCGAGUGUUUGAGAUAGUAUAUGUCUGCAUUAAAUUUCUUUUAUUGAUGCUUUGAAUAGUUUAUGAUUUCAUACUUUUGUUGUUUUUGAAUUUGUUAGUGGAGUUUUUCUCAUAAUCUCUUGCUGUUCACAUUCCAGGUUAACGAAUACGCACUAUUGGCUUUAUUUUGCUGAAGAAAAAUGUUCGGAAGCAACCGUAAGUUCUGUUUCCCUUAACUUAGUCGGUUCUUAUUUGAUUGUUUUGUAUUGCCACAUUGGUUGUUCUCCUCUAUUAUCUUCCUGUGGAUAACUCUCCGCUUUUUACCUUUGAAUAUAUCCCUUGACAACAAAUUCCUAAAUUAAAUCUGUUAUAUGGUUAGGUAAUGAUAAUAACAUUGGCUACUUGAGAUCAAAUGUUUAAUUUUUUUAUUUGAGAUUUGGGAGAGUACACAAUUAAAAAUAUUUUAUAUGUUCCUGGGUUAUGCUUGUACAUCCUGAUUUUUUCUGGGUUAUGCUUGUACAUCCUGAUUUUUCCUUUGUUCUGUUACAGCUUUUGGGCUGUCAUCUAGUUUUUAUUAAAACCCAUGCCGUCCACCUUUACGACUAUUUUUGGUGGACGGAGGGAGUAUUUUUUUAUUUCUUUUUCUUUUUCUCUAUUUAUAAAAAUUGUAGUAUAAUUUAACUAAUGAUAAAAUAUUUCCUUUCAGUGUUCUGCUAUUCACUAGAUGAUCUCCCUAAUAUUGAUGUUUGUUCUCAGAUUGAUCAGAAACUCUAGAAUGAUAAAACUGAAAUUUCUGCUCAAGACUCUAAGCAUCGGAAAACGCUUUCUGAGGUUAGUUAGCUUGGUUUAAUAGAUUAUUAUUCUAUUUAUAUGAAGGCACGAGGGCAUGCAGCAUGUUGCUAAUUGUUGCUGUUUCUUUUUCCAUAUUUACAUGCAGCCGGAAAAAUGUGUUGAUGGCUUGUUUGAUAGUUUUGCAAGGUUGGAUUCACGUAUAUAUAGUGUUGUUCAAACUGCUGCUAACGUAGGAGACCACCUGCAGGUAAAGGUAAAGCCUGUAUAAAGAUUGUAAAUUUUGUUUAGUCUGCAUUUGGUGUUUAUUUUCUUAUUAUAUCAUGUCUUUAAUAUACAGAGUGAAUAUAGUCCAAUACUAAUACAUCAAAUUAAGUGUCUGGAUUUUGAACAGUGACCAUUUGCUUUUCGGUUUUCAUUUAUUUUGGUGUUUCUAUGCACAAAUUGUCUACUAGGUUGUUUAACCGAACUGGGUAAACAACUCUUGUGUUCAGUGUUGUUACUUUCGUUGAUACUUUGUGUUGCACGUUUGCUGCGUUUUGUGUGUGCGAUAUAUGCAAUUGGAUAGGUAACUUUUCACAGAUGCUAAAGAUGAGAGUUGCCCAAGUUGAAUUUAAGAUGAUGAUGACACGGUAUUAGUUCGGUUAGUAUGAGGUUUGACAUUGUUUUAACGGUUUAUGUAAUAUGUUUAUGCUACUUCUUGCUUGCUUCGCCUCAUUGUCUGCACAAAUCUAGUGUGCUUUGCCAUGUCUUUUGCACAAAUAUGUAGUUUUGAAUUUCCUCCUAUGUUAAGUAUCUUUGUACAAGUGUUUUGGUAUGAAAAUAUUUUGUAAUCAAUGUUCGACUAGCUAGUAUCUUGUAUCUUUGUAAAUAAUGAAGUUUCAUUUCUCUACCCCUACCUCCUCUCAAGAGGCGANAAAAAAAAUAUAUAAUGGUCGUUUUGCUAAAUUAAUAUUCUUAUGUCUCCAAAAACAUUUGCUACAUUCUGAAUUAUAUGAGUUUUAAUAAAAUAUAAGUGAAGUUGCGUGAAUUUUACUAUUAUAAAAAAAAUGACAAAAUAUAAUGGUCAUUGUUAGAGUAUUCUUUCUACAUACUCUAAAGGUGAUAUCGUCAUUGUGUACCUCAAAACAUGUUUUCUUCGGUUGUCUCUCUUUGAGUCUCUUGUUGGGUUUCUUGUUCGGUUGCAAGGUUCUUUCUGGUUUGUUUCCUUGCGGGUUUUUGUAGCUUUUUGGAAAGAUAUCUUUAAGAUAUUGCCUUUGCAUGAAGAGUCCGUUUCUUUAGGGUGUCUUCGUACCCUAUGACUAGCCGCCUUAUAAAAACCCUACAUGGGCCCUGCGUUGGUUUGGACUAGCAGUUCAUGGGCUCUCUAUUUCUUGGCAAGAGUUUUCAUAUUUAAUGAGCGUUUGUCGAUCAGAGGCUGCUGCUGCUUUCUCGUUUAUUCUCUUUACUUUGUGAGAGUAUUUUUGUGCAUCCAGAGAGCAUACAAUUCGGGAGUGUGUGCUGUUGUUUUACACUUUAUUUCAUUGGAAGCGUGAGUUGGUUUUAUGUUCGUUGAUCUGUACUCAGCUUGUUGGAGUGUUUAUUUUUGUGGUGUGGAACGUGGAUUGAGUAUCAAUCACGUUUGUGAGAGUGAGUCUUAUCUUGCUCUCGGUAGUUCACAUAGGUGACGAUUUGGGAAGAAAUAGAGGCUAGGAAGAUCGAGUCUUCGCGUGUAAGUCCUUUGUAUUUCUUAUCCUCACUAGUGAACUGUUUGAACUGGGCGAGGCCCCCCAGACGUAGGUGUUUUAUCACCGAACUGGGUUACUAUUGUUGGUGUUUUGUGUUCUUUACUUUCUGCACGUUUUGCUUUAAGUUUCGCUGCUUACUCUCUUUGUGC